AACGAACGCUGGCGGCAUGCCUAACACAUGCAAGUCGAACGAACCUUCGGGGUUAGUGGCGCACGGGUGCGUAACGCGUGGGGAUCUGCCCUUUGCUUCGGAAUAACAGUUAGAAAUGACUGCUAAUACCGGAUGAUGUCGAAAGACCAAAGAUUUAUCGGCAAAGGAUGAACCCGCGUAGGAUUAGCUAGUUGGUGGGGUAAAGGCCUACCAAGGCGACGAUCCUUAGCUGGUCUGAGAGGAUGAUCAGCCACACUGGGACUGAGACACGGCCCAGACUCCUACGGGAGGCAGCAGUGGGGAAUAUUGGACAAUGGGCGAAAGCCUGAUCCAGCAAUGCCGCGUGAGUGAUGAAGGCCUUAGGGUUGUAAAGCUCUUUUACCAGGGAUGAUAAUGACAGUACCUGGAGAAUAAGCUCCGGCUAACUCCGUGCCAGCCGCCGCGGUAAAAC
rnacentral:rRNA from 1 species